AAAUCUACAGACAUCCCGCAUGUUCCCGGGCUCGUCUCCCCAAUACAGGGCACCAAGGCUGUAGACUGCGCAGCCCUCCUGGAGACAGAUGGAAGCUCCUUGGGUCGACAGAUUACAGCUUCUGGAACCCCCUACUCCCUUCAACUCCGAGAUGGACACCCACUGUCCAGGGAGAGGAUGCCUGGAAAUAACAGCUGGGAUCUACAGUGGCCAAAGAGUUGUCUCCGUCUUGCUACAUCGACAAACUGGUGCUCCUGAUGCCAGGAGCGACGGUACACUCCAGAGUGCUGUGCCCUGAUGGGCCUUUGAGUGGCCAGUGCAGUGGAUCAUCAGCCCUGUCUCCCAAGAGCUCCAGUCCCUUCUCCGGAGAGGAAGUGGGUCCACUGGCAGCUCAGGAGGCCAUAGCAGAUUGUGGGGCUCUGUGCAGUUGAUGUUAGUUAACCACUGGAUCCACGUGUUCACCGUGGCUUGCGCCCCUGCAUCCGAAAGUGAUCUUGGCUGCCGUGUCCUGGUCAUUGGUAGUGCAGGGAAAGGAUGCGGAAAGACGGGCUCCGAGCUCGGGGCGUCUGGCCUGGAGCUUUCCUACACUUGUGUCUUGCUCUGCAGCCUUACGGAAGUGUGGGUGGCGCUUUCUGGAAGCUGCACAAGUCAGUGCUGGGUCUUCGCAACUUGGUGUUCUGUUUCCAGAAACUUGGGGUGUUUGCAUGUGCUAGGUCAGCACAGAUUUCCAAAGGAUCUCUAGGAUUGUCACGUGUGCUCAACAGUCCUCCUCGGCUUUCCAGAAGAGGCUGGAACAGGGCCCUUGAAGAUGUUUGUGGACAUCAGAGGGCCAAAGACGACACAAAGUGAAACUGGAGACACCGCCCCCCCUUGGCAUCAUGAAACUGCCGAUGUUACUGGCUCAUGCAUGGGAGACACCAGCAUACAAAGUCUUGACACCAACACCUCAGAGGGCUGUGUUCUGUCCCCGUGACCAUCAUCUAGUGCCUGGAAAGACUAGUGACAAGAACUUGUUGCCAACUUCCUAUUACCUCCCUAACAGUUGUGCAAUAAACCCCAUAGGUUAAU
rnacentral:lncRNA from 1 species